UGUGCACAGCACUGACCUCAGUAGUAAGCGGUUAUAGCAGAUGCACCACAAGCCCUGCUCUUAAGGAAUUGACGGAUUAAUGGAGGAGGAGGGAAAUAAGGCUUAUUAAAGAAGUAGAGGAUUAUAAAAAUAAUUUUAUGAAGGAGAAGGAAUUUGAGAUAUAUGCCCAAGAACAAGGAGAGAGUGUUUCAGAUGGUGGAUGCAGUAAAAAAAUAAAAGUGUAAAGAUUCCAAAGUGAGAUUGAACAUGGGAAUGGAAGUGAGAAAUAAAAAACAAUGAGCUUUGUAGAUGACUAGGUGCAUGUUGUAUGUGGGGGGGGGGUGGGUAUAGACGUGCAUUUGUAAGUUUAGGUACUGGGGUGGAGAUGGCAUGUCCCCAAAAGCCACCUCACCACAAGUGGCCCAUCAGCUUUAGGCAUUUAAUCAAGGCUGCAGUUUCCACAAGACCAAAAUUGCAAAGAACUAACUUGCCAGCUAUUUCAGCUGAUUGUGCUACUGCCAACCAUCCUUUCUUUUGCCCUCUGAAAUGAGAGGCUCAUGUCUCUGUUCAUGACCCUGUAGCAAACUGGGGUCAUCUCUCACCCAUUUCCAGGCUAAUGAAGAUUAUAUGCACUGUCAUUGACUUGUUCAGUCAAAUACAGUGAGCUGUCGUGUUUAUUUUACUUGUGUUUUAAUUUUGUGGCUCUUGGCAGUUUGACAUUCAUUUAGUAAGUGUUGAGUCUUGGCUAAAAGCUGAGUACUAAAGAUAGGAUUAAUUCAUUCAACAAAAUAUUCGUAGUGGCCCUACUUUGUAUCGGGCACGGUACUUGGUACUGACUCUCCCGGGAGUGAAUAAAAGAAAAAUAUCCCUGUACCCACGCAGCUUAUGGUCUUAUGGGGGAGAGUGAAAUUUAAGAAACAAGUACACAUUAAAAUGCUAUUGCCAUUGUGAUCAGUACUGCUAAGUCAGCAGUCCCCAACCUUUUUGGCACCAGGGACCGGUUUCGUGGAAGACGUUUUUUCCACGGGGUAGCGGGGGAUUGUUCAGGUGGAAAUGAGAGCGACAGGGAGCGGCGGAUGCUGAAGCUCCGCUCGCGCGCCCACUGCCCUCCUGUGCGGCCCGGGUCCUAACAGGCCGUGGACUGCUACCGGUCCACAGCCCGGGGGUUGGGGACCCCUGCUGUAAAUGAAAGAACGCUAAAGGAGAGAGUAAAGGGAAGCCUGCCUUCCAUUAGGCUGUUAGGGAAAGCCUCAGAAAAAGUGAUACUUGUGCUGAAGUCUGAGAGAUGAAGAGGAUUUAGCCAGAGCUUAGACAGGUGGGAGUGAGAGGUGGGAGCUGGGCAGAGAAGAGGCCUUGCUGAGGACCUGAAGAAGGAAAGAGCUAAUGAAUAAAUGGAUGAGAAGGACAUGGUCCCUGUUCUCUUAAAUUGUGUUAAAGUGAUGGAUUUAUAAACAAAAAUAUUUACGUUACAUUGUGACAGGUAUGAUAAUCGUGGUUUGGGUAAGUGCUAACUUAGUUUGUUGAAAUCAUGCACUCUGGGAAGGCUUUUUCAAAUAGUAGAUUUUUAAGCUAGACCUUAAGGAUAAAUAGGUAUUUAUAGGAGUGUAGGAAGAAGUUCUUUAUACAGUAAAUGGGUUCAGAAAAAAAUGCCUAUAAGUUCUUGAUGUUACUGAUUGGGGGGAGGGGGACAGCUAUAAUAUAUGUAUUGUAAAUUAUUUCUAAAAUCUUAAGCCCAGUGAAUAUAAAUAAUUGAAAUAAAAAGCAGGAAUGAUCAUAUUCAGAAAACUGUAGAUUUUGAGUUUUGUCUAUUUUAUAACAUUUUAAUAUGGUAAAUACGCUGUUUCGUUAUCCUGUCUUAAAGUUUGGCAUAUAUAUAAGCCAGAUUUCGAAAGACUGAUUUUUUCCCCUAGGUAUUUAUUGUUUUUUUAAUUAUUGCGAAAAAUGCGAACAUAGGAAAAUUGCAGAGUGUAAUGAAUUGCCAUAUGCCUGUCACCUAAACGUAACAUUUUUCAGUUGCUUCAUUUUUUAACUGAAAUGUCUUAAAAACAUGGCAUUUCCCCCCAAACACAUAAAUAUGCAUUUCUGAAAAAUAAGGACAUUUUCCUACAUAACCAUAAAACCAUCAUCAGGCAUAAAAAAACUAACAGUAAGCUCUUAAUAUUACCUAAACCAGUCCUUGUGCAGGUUCCCCCAGUUAUCCCCAACGAGGUUCACGUAAUCUAUUUGGUUGAAUCACGUCUGUCUCUUUGCUCUCUUAAUCUAGAAUAGUUCCCUCCACCCAUCCAACCUUUUAUUUUUCUUAUACUACAUUUUCUUGUUGAAAACGGGACCAUUGACUGUUUACUGUCCCACCUUUUGAAUUUGUCUGAAUAAUGUCCUCUUUCCCUGGAUUUUCUGUAAGCUGAAUUAGGUCUAAAAACUUGAUUGUAUUUAGAUUACUGUUCACACUUGAAUAACUCAGGGGUUAGGGGCGCCAGCUUUCCACGCAGUCAGAAAUCCACGUGUAACUUUUGGUUGGGCCUCCAUAUGCUCGGUUUCUCUGUAUCCAGGACUCUGCACCCACCGAUUCAACCAACUGCAGAUCGUGUAGUACUCUAGUAUUUAUUUACUCUUGGAAGAAAUCUGCAUUAUAAGUGGACCUGCACAGUUCAAACCUGUGUUGUUCAAGGGUCAACUGUAUAUAUUUAACCUUUUUGAAGUAUAAAGAAAUGCAAUAAAAAGGUCCCAUACUUUGGCUUCCAGUAUAACUUCUGUUCCUGCUUACCCUCCUCCUUCCCUCCCUUCCUUUCUCCACAUAUGAGAACAUAGUUAGAAAAUCCGAAUAGUACAGAAAGACACAAAACAAAUUGAAAGCUUCUCUCCACUUUUCCCCAAAGUCAACCACUGAUGAUAUUUUUCUUUCCAUAUGAAAAUGUGCAUUUACCAACAUGCUUCAGUGUGGAAGCUUGACUUGUUUUUUAAGUACAUCAAAGGUGACUUUAAAAACAACCUUUGGAUUAAACUGACUCAUCCACAGCUUUCUAGAUAAUGUUUCAUUAUUGAAUUUCUAAAAGCAUGUCUUCUAAAUGUCAUUCUAAAAUGGUUCAAACUAGUAUUUCCAUUUUAUUAUUAUUAAACUACACAAUUCGGUUUCUUCGCUUAGAGACUCCUCCACACAGACAGCCAAGGAAGCCGAUGAGUAUCUGACUGAGCCCAAACAGGGUCUCAAGAAUGCCCACAAGCAGUAGACCUAAAAAUACUGAGAAAUGGAUAAUCCUAUGCUUGUUUUCCAUAGAAUUGAAGUGUAAGCUGUAUGUUCUCCAGUUACUGGCUGUUGCGUUGUUGAUGGAGGGAUUAUUGAAAUCCGUAGGAGAAACACAAGAGUCGUCAAAGAACCACUGCAGAUCGAAGGAUUCUGGAUGAAUGGCACUGGACAAAAUGAAAGAAAUGAUAAAGAUAAGAUAUUCAGGAAUACCACUGACCGUCUAAAGAACGCAGCAUUGUGCCUAGAAAAGGACAUGUAUGGUAAAACAGAAAGUGCUUUUGAAACAUCGUGCCCAGAAACUAUAGCUAAGAUGAGGGUUUCUGAGCAUGUGCCGUUGUACUCUUAACAGUUGUAAAACGUUGACAUCGUAUAUCCCAUCACUCAACAAGCAUCUACAGAGGAUCUACUCUUAGGUUGAACUGUAUGAAAUUUUCUGUGUCAGAAAGGGUUGAAUAUUAAGUUUCCUGUGGUCGCACCUAUUCAUGCAGGCACUCUUCUACUGGCUAAAGAAACUAAAACAAGCUCCCCCGUUCAAGGAGCUCAGUUCUUAGUGCAAAACUGGUGUGUUGCGUCUGUUCUUAAACCCGAUGUACAAUGUUUACUCACAAAAGGCAUUUCAAAUAUGUCUGGUUAAAACCUUGUUGUAACAAGGUAUGGAGAAUGAGAAACUUUUAGCCCUAACACAUCUGUCCUGACAUGAUUUAUCUUUGGUUUUCUACAGUAGGACUAAGUGUUCUUAGAGAGUUUGCAUUUCUGCAUACCAGCAACUGAUGUGCAGCCUGGGAAGAACAACAGCAUGUCAGCACGUGGAAUAUGAGUAUGCUCAUUGCAGUUUGCAGCGAGCGUAGGGUCACUCUUCUGUAAUUGUUUACUCUCCGUAACUGUCUGUCUCCCCAACUAGAGUGGGAAUACCUUGAUGCUGUGACCUCCAGCUUGGCCUGGUGCCUGGUACAUGUUUUACAAAUUGUGCCUAGAUUCAGGCCCAGAACCAUCUUACAAGACUGAAAUGAGCCAUUUCCAUGUAACUCUUCAGCAUUAUUUGUUACUCUGACCGGCCCUGCCACUGGAGCCACGCGGUGAUUCAGGAGAUGCUGACGCCUCGGCGGCUUUGCUGAGAUGCCGGUAACUGCUUAUGCACCAGACCAGCUGUGCUGUGCUCACCCCGGUUUUGUUAUUGCAGCAUGCUCUUUUCCUCGCUGCUAAGGACAUCGUUGUUGCUGGAAUGACCUGGAAAUUACAUCAACAGGAACAAAGAAUAUUAUUACUUCUCAUCAGUUGAUAAAGCAAUAAUCUUCACUUUCUACUUGCCAGCAGUUGUGGGAAGCCAAGAGGCUUAAGAGAAGAAAAAGGAGAUGUGACAAUGUCCUUGAUCUUGUGACCCUUAACGAUCCCCAUUUGGACCAUAAAGAUUAAAAAGGGGGAAAAGAUGGGGGAUUUCAGUAUAGCAAUUUAAAACUUCCAUCUACAUUUUUACUUUGAGUCAUUAGAGAGACUUGGAUUUUAAAUAAAGUUAUUUAUUCAUUAUUUUGGAGGAAUGUUUCUGAA